rnacentral:lncRNA from 1 species
AGGGAAAGAAAGAGAGAGAAAAAUAACAGUACGAAAUAUAUGAGCUAUGUUUACAUCAUAGGAUCGUUUCGUUUGAAUGUUUGAGCUCGAACGCUGGUACAGAACGGUCGGCAAUAACUCAUCUAUAAUGGAAUAUCAUUAAAAUACGAAUAUAUGUAAUCGAAUAUAUGUACAUAUAUAUAUAUAAAGAUGAGGUCCUGCAAACAUAUUCCUGGUUAGAAAGGAAAAUAUGAGAGAAGUUAACCUUCCUCAAGUUGCUGAUAAAGGAUUACGGAAGAAGUCAUUAGACUGAGGCCAUACUGGGGCAACCGUCUCCGAAACAAAUCGACCUUGCUACCUAUUGAACCUGGUACUUAUUCUAUCGGUGUCUCUUGUCAAACUG